rnacentral:rRNA from 1 species
AUUGAACGCUGGCGGCAGGCCUAACACAUGCAAGUCGAACGAGUGGCGGACGGGUGAGUAAUGUCUGGGAAACUGCGCGAUGGAGGGGGAUAACAACUGGAAACGGUAGCUAAUACCCCCUACCAUCGGAGGUGCCCCGAUGGGAUUAGCUAGUAGGUGGGGUAAAGGCGCACCUAGGCGACGAGCCCUAGCUGGUCUGAGAGGAUGACCAGCCACACUGGAACUGAGACACGGUCCAGACUCCUACGGGAGGCAGCAGUGGGGAAUAUUGCACAAUGGGCGCAAGCCUGAUGCAGCCAUGCCGCGGGUAUGAAGAAGGCCUUCGGGUUGUAAAGUACUUUCAGCGAGGAGGCGUUACUCGCAGAAGAAGCACCGGCUAACUCCGUGCCAGCAGCCGCGGUAAUAC